rnacentral:ncRNA from 1 species
GCUGUUGCCUAACGGGUAGUCACGUGGAAUUUUCUUUUAAUCUUGCGCGCGUUUCUUUUAGCCACUCAAGUGCUACUUUGGUGGAAAGAACUCGACUGGAUGCUUCUCGACACGGUGUCUGGUUGGUUGGUGGAACGAUUUGUCUAGUUAAUUCCGAUAACGAACGAGGCUCUAGCCUGUUAAAUAGGUGUGUGAUGCUCUGAACCUUCCACAUUUCUUAGAGGGACAAGCGACUCCUAACCGCACGAAACACAGCAAUAACAGGUCUGCGAUGCCCUUAGAUGUCCGGGGCCGCACGCGCGACACUGAAAGCAACAGCGUGACUUUAUCCCUGCUGUAAAGACUGAGUAAACCAUGGAACCUCCUUCAUGAUUGGAAAGGAGCUUGCAAUUGUUCCCCUUGAACGAGGAAUUCCCUCUAAGCUUGAGUCAUAAGUUCGCGUUGGUUACGUCCCUGGCCAUUGUACGCACCACCCGUUGCCGAUUGAAUGAUUCAGUGAGGUCUUCGGGACCUAUACCCGGAGCGGCCUUCGUGUUGUGCGGGUGUGUUGGAAAGAUGACCAAACUUGAUCAUUUUGAAGAAGUAAAUGCACUGUACGGUGUGCGCAAAAAUUUAUU